rnacentral:rRNA from 1 species
CAGCACCUCAAGUGGUCAGGAUGAUUAUUGGGCCUAAAGCAUCCGUAGCCGGCGCUGUAAGUUUUCGGUUAAAUCUGUACGCUCAACGUACAGGCUGCCGGGAAUACUGCAGCGCUAGGGAGUGGGAGAGGUAGACGGUACUCGGUAGGAAGGGGUAAAAUCCUUUGAUCUAUUGAUGACCACCUGUGGCGAAGGCGGUCUACCAGAACACGUCCGACGGUGAGGGAUGAAAGCUGGGGGAGCAAACCGGAUUAGAGACCCGGGUAGUCC